rnacentral:rRNA from 1 species
UACGAAGGGGCUAGCGUUGCUCGGAAUCACUGGGCGUAAAGGGUGCGUAGGCGGGUCUUUAAGUCAGGGGUGAAAUCCUGGAGCUCAACUCCAGAACUGCCUUUGAUACUGAAGAUCUUGAGUUCGGGAGAGGUGAGUGGAACUGCGAGUGUAGAGGUGAAAUUCGUAGAUAUUCGCAAGAACACCAGUGGCGAAGGCGGCUCACUGGCCCGAUACGUGACGCUGAGGCACG